rnacentral:rRNA from 1 species
AUGAACAUCGCCCUUCUCUCCCGCUGGCUCUGGCACAUCUCACACGGUCUCGGUGGCCUCUGGCUUGACAUCAUCUGGAACAAAUACUUGCGCGGACAACCCCUCGCCUUCUGCCAGAAGUCUGGCGGAUCUUAGUUCUGGCAGUCGAUAGUUCAACUUCUUCCGAUCCUCCGUAUCGGGACCUCCAUCUUGAUCGGAUUCGGAGUGUCGACGCUGUUCUGAUUCGAUCGCUGGGUCGGGGACACUCCCUUUGCGGCCCGCUUCCCCGGCCUCUUCUCUAUCGCCGUCGAUCCCGUGAUCUCUGUUGAUAGGGCCCUUCUUGACUUAGGGCGCCUUGCUUUCUGGCGGCCUUUUGGCCCCCUGGAAUCCGCCGCCUGGCAUGAGUUGCUUGACUGUGUUGCUCUCCACGAACCUUUGGUGGAUGGUGGCCCUGACCUGGUGCGCUGGCGCCUUGAGCCGUCGGGCCAAUUCUCCAUCAAGUCGCUUUACCAGGCUAUCGCCCCCUCCUCUGCCCUCCCCCUUUCGAUGGUGUGGUCCAUCCGCCUGCCCCUGAAAAUCCGCAUCUUCAUGUGGCAAUGGAUCCGCGGCCGGGUCCCAUCCGAGGUGGAGGUGCGCAAGCGAAAUGGCCCGGGUACGGGCGUCUGCCCUCUCUGUGGGGUUUCCGAAGACUCGAACCACAUCUUCUUCUCUUGCGUUUCCGCCCAGUUCCUCUGGAGCUGUUUUCGCGAAGUGGUCGGUGGAGAUUGGUGUCACACCAACUUCCCGGACUUAUUCACCGAACUCCAGAUGUCCCCCGCGACUUCUCGCCACAUUAGGUGGCUUGAGAUUGGGGUCCUCGCCUGGACCCUCUGGACUGUCCGCAAUAAGCUUGUGAUUCAGCGCACUCCUCUUCGUCGGGCUACUGACGCUAAACUCUCGGAUUUCUUGCAGCUUUGGCGGCCGCUUAGCCGCCCCCUGGACCGCGACGCCAUCUCAGCCUUCAUCGCCGACCUCCGUUCGAUGGCCGUUCGCCUGUCGCCGCCGCCCCCACCGCCUCCACUUUGUUUUUUGUCCAAAAGGACCCCCUGCCGAUAUGAAUUGCCAAAAAAGACUGCCUCUGAAUCAAUUUGA